UGUUACCUUGGUAACAGCACUACAGAAGUCCAGAGAGUGCAGGAAGUGGACGAGAGCUGGAACCUGUUGACCCAAACGUCAGGACAGAAGUAUGUGUUCUCUGCGAUGUGCUGGGCGACUCGAGGAUCGGAGGCCGACAGAGACAUGAUGAGCAGCAGAGCAUCUCUGGCCUGCUGACCGACCGAACCCUGUCUGAACCAGAGAGACAUAAUAAAGGGAGAACAACAGGAAGUUGGCGGCUCCCUGGUCCUCACUGGUGUGGAAGAACAGUUCCAGCACCGAGGGAUCUCUGACCAGAGCGACACACAGCUGGUUCAGCAGCAGGACCAGCUCCGCCUCCACCACACCGCCGCUGUCUGGACGAGGAGGAGGAAACGCAGACUAACAAGGCCCGGAACAGGAAGUGAAGGUCGUCAGCGGCAACAAGCAAACAGGAAAGAGAGGAACACGUCCGAGUCCCAACCGGGCGUUCCCACGACAUUCCAUGAAUUCCCUCGGAGAUCUCUAGGAACUCAGUAUAACAGGAUAUCUACCUCCGAGCUGCUGCUGCUGACGGGACGACAUGGACGAGUGAUGUUGU